rnacentral:rRNA from 1 species
AGCGAACGCUGGCGGCAGGCCUAACACAUGCAAGUCGAACGAACCUUUCGGGGUUAGUGGCGGACGGGUGAGUAACACGUGGGAACGUGCCUUUAGGUUCGGAAUAACUCAGGGAAACUUGUGCUAAUACCGAAUGUGCCCUUCUGGGGAAAGAUUUAUCGCCUUUAGAUCGGCCCGCGUCUGAUUAGCUAGUUGGUUGAGUUAAUGGCUCACCAAGGCGACGAUCAGUAGCUGGUCUGAGAGGAUGAUCAGCCACAUUGGGACUGAGACACGGCCCAAACUCCUACGGGAGGCAGCAGUGGGGAAUAUUGCGCAAUGGGCGAAAGCCUGACGCAGCCAUGCCGCGUGAAUGAUGAAGGUCUUAGGAUUGUAAAAUUCUUUCACCGGGGACGAUAAUGACGGUACCCGGAGAAGAAGCCCCGGCUAACUUCGUG